rnacentral:lncRNA from 13 species
GCCCCCAGAGCCAAGCUGCCCGCUCUACCUCUGCCCCCUCUACUCCCUCCUCCAGUGGUGUUCAUAUGCCACAGUUCAUUACUGCAGGCAUGACUGUGCCUCAGGGCCAAAAGGGCACAGCAUGGAGGCGUCGUUGUGUUCUGUGUCGCAUGAAGUCUCCCAUCACCUGCACCACUUGUUCAGUUUGCCUCUGCUUUACAUCAGAAAGAGACUGAUAUGGGACAUGGCACAGGCAGCACUUCCAAAGGACGCCGUGACACAUCACCCAGCUCUCCUAAUAAAUCAGUGUUGCGGCGAUGACCUCCUGCUGUACUUGCCAGGACCUCCAUCCACUCGGACCCGAUCGAAUGGAGAUUUUAUGGAGAGUACUUCACCCACUCAGUGGUUGGGCUACAGAGACCUGGGUAGGCUUUGAGGGGCGCAGUGGCUCAGUGGGUGAGUAUAGAGAGGGUUAGUUAAAUAAAGGUUCAAUAAAAAAUAGUAUAGAGAGUAGAGAUAAGAUGUCCGUUUGGCCUGGAGACAGCUGCAACCACAACUGACACAUCCAGAGGGGCCCUCUCACCGCCUUGCUACUGGCACCCGGCACGGGAAAGCACCUGGAAUGAAUGUCUCAGCUCUCCGGAGGGAAUUACUUUUUUGGGAGCGAGGGAUGGAAGAAAUGAUGGAGGGAUUGGGGGGU